rnacentral:lncRNA from 1 species
UUUGAACUGGAUUUGUAUUUAUUUUCAUAUUCUGCUCAUUGACUUCAUAUCCGCCUUCAGCCCAGCUCCAAGCCUCAGGCCUGUUUGUCACCCAUGUGAACAUGGGCCAGGCCGGAAGUGCCUCCAGAGGCCUCAGCAGAGCCAGGCGCAGCUCUGAGAUAAAGCACAGCACAAGUAGAGCAACAAAAAGGGCGGGAAACACUGAGGGAAGGAGAACAACAGAAAGCCUUGGAAUCUUAUUAUGAAGCAUGCAGCGAGCGCAGCCAUCCUGAAGGCUUCGUGCAACAGAUAUUCAGAGGGCAGUGGAAUCCCACACUUCACAUCAGAAGCAGUUUGAUUAAGAGCGUCCACAGAACAAAAAGGAAACCAGCACACUUGGAGCCCACAGCUUCACAUGUGGACAAGUUCUCAGCCUCAGCUGAUGCCCACAGAGCUGCACACAUUUAUGUGAAGUGGGGACAUGUUGUGUAGUGUGGUUUUUUUUCUCCGUCACAAACUUUACUGAUAUUCCAAUGAAGAUCAUUUGGAGGGGAG